GAAAAUUGGGGAGAAGGCGGCGCGUUAAUGCGAUGGAGAGGAUCGUUGUUCGUGUUGAUGGGGUUUAAAGGGUGCGUAUGCUGCACAGGAAGUCGGUGUUGAAAGCCUGGUGCUUAACAACAGAUCUGCCAUCGAUACUGCUGAUCUUGAGGACAUAGGAUGUGGGCGGAAUGGGCCAUGUAGCGGUGAAAUGCUUAGAUAUGGCACAGAACACCGAUUGCGAGGGCAGCUCACAAAACUGUAACUGACGCUGAGGCACGAAAGCGUGGGGAUCAAACAGGAUUUGGUACCCCAGUAGUC
rnacentral:rRNA from 1 species